CAUAGAGCCCAUCGAGAAAUAUGACUGAAACCAGUUCAGUGCUGAAUCUUUAAUGGCUGAGGCCGAGGACUGGUGAGUGUUGGAGCCACGAUCCAAGAAGAAACAUCCAGGAAGACAUCAGAAAGAUGAGCUGCAGAAACUGUAACUACACACAAAUUCACUGUGUGCUCUGCAUUUUCUUCUGUUGAGGAAAGAGGUCAGAAGUCCAGUGAUUCUGCUCACUCAGACUUUGUUCCAAGCAUCAAGCCUCAGGAGGAAUGUGCAAACAAUGAUUCCAAAACAGAACGUUAUGAAAGACCUCAGAGAAGGAAGGCCACCAGUGCAGUUACAUCAGGUUGAAAAGAAAAACAUGCUGGUCAGUAGACGGUGACAGGGAUGCCUUAACAUUCAUGAUCUGGAUGUUUGCUGACAAGGACACCAAGGCUGAUGGUUCAACAGACAGGCUGACGUCGCAGCACCGUGCAUCAUUGCAAUAUUGUUUAAAUCAGCAGGGUGCACUGUCUCGCGUUUCACUUUUAUUCUCUAUCUCUCUUCUAUCUACUUUAAAACAUGGUUUGAGCGUGCUCCGGGAACAACCCCUCGAAACAUAGGACUAUGAUUUGCUGCAUUUCCAGCGUGGAAACAAAGCCAAGACUGCAGAUGUCUGAACCAACUGAAGCUCGCCCAGUGGCCUGGAUAUCUGCAGUCUGAUGCUGAAACACCACAUUUAAGACUGACAGUCGACAGCGGUUGGGUGACCUGCGUAAGAAAUGAACGUUUAUUAUUGGAUAAAGUCAUUAAAAAGCAAGAAGUGAGUGCUGUGCUGGGAAUUCCAAUGAGCUGCGUCUUCCCAGUGAAGAGCUGCAGCUCAGAAAUCGAAACUGAUGAAGAGACGGAUUCACUUGAUACUGAGCACAAUGAGAAAGAUGUUUGUCUACAGAGGAGACUUCCUGAAGGACCAGUUGGCUUCAUGCAUGACUGAAAAUAGCGAUGCU